rnacentral:pre_miRNA from 1 species
GAAGAUUGUAUGACAGCGACAGAGAGCACGCCUGUACACAGUCAUGUUCCUCGCAUGAAUGCAGACUAGCGUGCUCUCUCUCGUUGUCAAGCAAUUACAUG